CCUACGGGCGGCAGCAGUGGGGAAUAUUGGACAAUGGGGGGAACCCUGAUCCAGCCAUGCCGCGUGUGUGAAGGAGGCCCUCGGGUUGUAAAGCACUUUCAGUGAGGAAGAACGCCUGGUGGUUAAUACCCAUCAGGAAAGACAUCACUCACAGAAGAAGCACCGGCUAACUCCGUGCCAGCAGCCGCGGUAAUACGGAGGGUGCGAGCGUUAAUCGGAAUUACUGGGCGUAAAGCGCGCGUAGGUGGCUUGAUAAGCCGGUUGUGAAAGCCCCGGGCUCAACCUGGGAACGGCAUCCGGAACUGUCAAGCUAGAGUGCAGGAGAGGAAGGUAGAAUUCCCGGUGUAGCGGUGAAAUGCGUAGAGAUCGGGAGGAAUACCAGUGGCGAAGGCGGCCUUCUGGACUGACACUGACACUGAGGUGCGAAAGCGUGGGUAGCAAACAGGAUUAGAUACCCUUGUAGUC
rnacentral:rRNA from 1 species